AUACGGAGGAUGCGAGCGUUAUCCGGAUUUAUUGGGUUUAAAGGGUGCGUAGGCGGACGAUUAAGUCAGCUGUGAAAUGCCCGCGCUUAACGCGGGAAGUGCAGGUGAUACUGGUUGUCUGGAGUGCCGUUGCCGUGGGGGGAAUGUGUAGUGUAGCGGUGAAAUGCAUAGAUAUUACACAGAACGCCGAUUGUGAAGACACCUCACGAAGCGGUAACUGACGCUGAGGCACGAAAGCGUGGGGAUCGAACAGGAUUAGAUACCCUGGUAGUCCACGCAGUAAACGAUGAUUACUAGCUGUUUGCGAUAUACAGUAAGUGGCACAGCGAAAGCGUUAAGUAAUCCACCUGGGGAGUACGCCGGCAACGGUGAAACUCAAAGGAAUUGGCGGGG
rnacentral:rRNA from 1 species